rnacentral:rRNA from 1 species
CUGUGCAAAGGUAGCAUAAUCAUUAGCUUUUUAAUUGAAGGCUUGUAUGAAGGGUCUGACAAAGGAAAAGCUGUCUUUAGUUUUAAUUUUGAAUUUGACUUUUAAGUGAAAAGGCUUAGUUGAAUUUAAGGGACGAUAAGACCCUAUAAAUCUUUAUAUUAUAUUAUUGUAUUAAAAUAUUAAUUGAUUGUCUAGAUUAAUAAAUAAAAUGAUAAAUAUUUUGUUGGGGUGAUGAGAAUAUAAAAUUAACUGUUCUAAAAAAAAACAAAGUUGUUUGUUUAAAUAUUAAUAGAUCCUUUAUAGAGAUUUAAAGUUAAAGUUACUUUAGGGAUAACAGCGUUAUUUUUUUUGAGAGUUCUUAUCGAAAAAAAAGUUUGCGACCUCGAUGUUGAAUUAAAAUUUCCCUAUGGUGUAGAAGUUAUAGGAGAAAGUCUGUUCGACUUUUGAAAUUUU